UACGGGGGGUGCGAGCGUUGUCCGGAAUCACUGGGCGUAAAGGGCGCGUAGGUGGUCUGAUAAGGGUGUGGUGAAAACCCGGGGCUCAACCCCGGGUCGGCCGUGCCGACUGUUGGACUAGAGUGCUGUAGGGGCAGGCGGAAUUCCGGGUGUAGCGGUGGAAUGCGUAGAGAUCCGGAGGAAGACCGGUGGCGAAGGCGGCCUGCUGGGCAGUUACUGACACUGAGGCGCGACAGCGUGGGGAGCAAACAGG
rnacentral:rRNA from 1 species